rnacentral:rRNA from 1 species
AAUAGAUACCCAGGUAGUCCACGCCGUAAACGAUGGAUACUAGCUGUUUGGGCGUAAGCUUGAGUGGCUAAGCGAAAGUGAUAAGUAUCCCACCUGGGGAGUACGGGCGCAAGCCUGAAACUCAAAGGAAUUGACGGGGGCCCGCACAAGCGGUGGAGCAUGUGGUUUAAUUCGAUGAUACGCGAGGAACCUUACCAGGGCUUAAAUGUGUUUUGACCGAUCUGGAAACAGAUCUUUCGCAAGACAAAAUACAAGGUGCUGCAUGGUUGUCGUCAGCUCGUACCGUGAGGUGUCAGGUUAAGUCCUAUAACGAGCGCAACCCCUGUUGUUAGUUGCCAGCGAGUCAUGUCGGGAACUCUAGCAAGACUGCCAGUGUAAACUGUGAGGAAGGUGGGGAUGACGUCAAAUCAUCACGGCCCUUACGUCCUGGGCCACACACGUGCUACAAUGGACGGUACAGAGAGCAGCUACCAAGUGAUUGGAUGCGAAUCUAUAAAACCGUUCUCAGUUCGGAUCGGAGUCUGCAAC